rnacentral:lncRNA from 1 species
GCUCCUGCUCCAUCUCCUUACCACCACGGCCACCACCACCCACAUCCUCCCCAUCACCACCACCCUCACCCUCACCCACCGGCAAAAGCCCCUGUCAAGCCGCCGGUUUCUCCACCUUCUAAACCUCCGGUUAAGCCUCCAGUUUACCCCCCAACCAAAUCCCCGGUUAAGCCCCCAACUAAACCUCCGGUUAAGCCACCAGUUUCCCCACCAGCAAAACCUCCUGUUAAACCUCCGGUUUACCCUCCGACCAAAGCUCCAGUUAAGCCCCCAGUCAAACCUCCGGUUAAGCCACCAGUUUCACCACCGGCCAAACCUCCAAUAAAGCCACCAGUUUCACCACCGGCCAAACCUCCGGUUAAGCCCCCGGUUUACCCUCCGACCAAAGCCCCUGUUAAGCCCCCGACCAAAGCCCCGGCUAAGCCUCCGGUCUCUCCUCCAGCCAAACCACCAGUAUCCCCUCCAGCUAAGCCACCGGUGAAGCCACCGGUUUACCCGCCAAAAUUCAACAGAAGCCUAAUCGCGGUUCAGGGUACGGUCUUCUGCAAAAGCUGCCAGUACGCUUCUUUCGAUUCACUCAUUGGCGCCAAACCCGUUGAAGGUUAGAAAUUCUUACUCCAUCUGUUUUCGAUUGAAAGUAGUUUUAACAAAAAAAAUUUGUUUGACAAUAUAACUAGUUUACAUAUUUGAAUGCAUUUUUUUAUUUAUUGGAUAUUAUGCUACCAAUAAAAUAAUGUUAAUUUUUUCAUAAUUGGUUGAAUUAAUUGAUUAAUUGAUUAAAUGUUUUUUUUAAACAACAAUUUUUAAAUAUUUGUACUUUUAAGUAAAACUACUUACAAUUAGAAACAAAUGGAGUAGUUAAUUAUUGCUACUCCUUCAGUUUCGAUUUAAUUGUUGUUGCAAAGAAAAAUUUUAGUUUUAAAAUAAGUGUCGUUCUAAAGUUCCAAUGUAAAAUUUAUUAGAUUUUCCAUUUUAUAUUUUAUUACUUUAAAUAUGGUUAGGUCUAUAGUUAAUUAUGUUUUUUUUGUUUCGGAAAUAUACAAAAUCAUUAGUCUUAAAUCUAGAACGAUAAUUAAAAUAAAACAGAGGGAGUAGUAUUUUUCACAUAGGUUCUUUAUUUUACACAUACACAAAUAAACACACACUAAAUUCAUCGUAUCUGAAACAACUCAACGUCUCAACGUGCUGGUCUGCAUGCGCAUUUAUUUAAUACUGUACACGUAUAUUUGUAAGACAAUACGUACUUGAUAUCAAAUCAUGACGCAAAUUUCUAAAAAUAAUUCAAAUUUCAACACAUCAUAAGUGGGACCACCGGUACGAAAACUAUAAUAUGGUUUCCAAAGUAUUUACUUCUGCACUCAUCAGUCACUGUUUUUAUUGUCUGUCCCAGAAAUUUCGUGAAGACCAAAGAAAGUAGUUAAAAAGCACCUAACUAGUUCCAUUAGUCCAAAAACGCAUCUAACGAUAUUAUCUUUUAAUUAUUUCUUUAGGUGCUGUUGUGAGACUACUGUGUAAGAGCAAGAAGAACAUAGUCGCGGAGACCAAGACGGACAAGAACGGAUACUUCUUGUUGUUGGGCCCGAAGACGGUGACAAACUACGGUUUCAGAGGAUGUCGUGUGUAUCUUGUGAAAUCAAAGGACUACAAAUGCAAUAAAGUGUCAAAGCUAUUCGGUGGAGAUGUCGGUGCCGUACUCAAGCCGGAGAAAAGGAAGGGGAAAUCUGCGGUGGUCAUUAAUCAGCUCAUCUACGGUAUCUUUAACGUUGGACCGUUUGCGUUCGACCCGGUCUGCC